UUUCUGGUCCGUCGUACACAUACUGAACAUAAAAAACCUCCGCAGACCUACCUCACUACGGCGCCACCGGGAAACAAUGCUCAGCCUCCUUCCCCGGUCUUGCCCAAAGCUCCGGUUCAAACCCGGUUAUAUAUAUCGGCUAUCCGGGCCCUAUUACUACCCGUCGCCGGUACGCCUUCUCCACCGCCACCGGUCUCUAUGGCUUCGACCACUUAAAGACCCCCAAAGGCUUUCGACGUUUCGUCGACGAUGCUAUCGAAAGGUCCGGAGAGCUGGUUGCAUACAUUUCAGGGAUGCCUUCCUCAGCGGAAAUAAUAAGAGCCAUGGAUGAGAUUUCUAACAGAGUCUGGUCUGUAAUUGACUCCGCGGAGCUUUGUAGACAAACUCAUCCUGACAGGGAAUUUGUUGAGGAGGCGAUCAAAGCUUCAAUAAGAGUUAAUGAAUAUCUACAUGUGAGGUGACGGUGAAUCGUCUUUGCAAGUGUUAUUAACUUUUUGCUCACGGUUUUGUUAUGUAUAUAAAUUGUACUGUAGUCAUGAGCC